CAGCAGCCACGGUAAUACGGAGGGUGCGAGCGUUAAUCGGAAUUACUGGGCGUAAAGCGUACGCAGGCGGUUUGUUAAGUCAGAUGUGAAAUCCCCGAGCUUAACUCGGGAACUGCAUUUGAAACUGGCAGGCUAGAGUCUCGUAGAGGGGGGUAGAAUUCCAGGUGUAGCGGUGAAAUGCGUAGAGAUCUGGAGGAAUACCGGUGGCGAAGGCGGCCCCCUGGACGAAGACUGACGCUCAGGUACGAAAGCGUGGGGAGCAAACAGGAUUAGAUACCCCUGUAGUCCCUGUCUCUUAUAC
rnacentral:rRNA from 1 species